rnacentral:rRNA from 1 species
AUUGAACGCUGGCGGCAGGCUUAACGCAUGCAAGUCGAGCGGAGAUGAGGUGCUUGCACCUUAUCUUAGCGGCGGACGGGUGAGUAAUGCUUAGGAAUCUGCCUAUUAGUGGGGGACAACAUUCCGAAAGGAAUGCUAAUACCGCAUACGCCCUACGGGGGAAAGCAGGGGAUCUUCGGACCUAGCGCUAAUAGAUGAGCCUAAGUCGGAUUAGCUAGUUGGUGGGGUAAAGGCCUACCAAGGCGACGAUCUGUAGCGGGUCUGAGAGGAUGGUCCGCCACACUGGGACUGAGACACGGCCCAGACUCCUACGGGAGGCAGCAGUGGGGAAUAUUGGACAAUGGGCGGAAGCCUGAUCCAGCCAUGCCGCGUGUGUGAAGAAGGCCUUUUGGUUGUAAAGCACUUUAAGCGAGGAGGAGGCUACCUGGAUUAAUACUCUAGGAUAGUGGACGUUACUCGCAGAAUAAGCACCGGCUAACUCUGUGCCAGCCGCCGCAGUAAGAC